CAGUAGCCGCGGUAAUACGUAGGUGGCAAGCGUUGUCCGGAAUUAUUGGGCGUAAAGGGCUCGCAGGCGGUUUCUUAAGUCUGAUGUGAAAGCCCCCGGCUCAACCGGGGAGGGUCAUUGGAAACUGGGAAACUUGAGUGCAGAAGAGGAGAGUGGAAUUCCACGUGUAGCGGUGAAAUGCGUAGAGAUGUGGAGGAACACCAGUGGCGAAGGCGACUCUCUGGUCUGUAACUGACGCUGAGGAGCGAAAGCGCGGGGAGCGAACAGGAUUAGAUACCCCCGUAGUCCCUGUCUCUUAUAC
rnacentral:rRNA from 1 species